UUUCCGUAGGUGAACCUGCGGAAGAAUCAUUCAUAAUAAAGUGUUUUAUGGCACUUUUUAAAAAUCCAUAUCCACCUUGUGUGCAAUGUUAGAUCUCGUCAAUCUUGGCGAGAUUUUUAUACAUCAACUCAUUCUUUAACUAAUUUGUCUGAAAAAUAUUAUGAAUACUUAAUUCAAAAUACAACUUUCAACAACGGAUCUCUUGGCUCUC
rnacentral:misc_RNA from 1 species